UGCAGCCGAGCGGUAUUUGUUCUUCGGAACAGAGAGAGCGGCGUACGGGUGCGGAACACGUGUGCAACCUGCCUUUAUCAGGGGGAUAGCCUUUCGAAAGGAAGAUUAAUACCCCAUAAUAUAAUGAACGGCAUCGUUUAUUAUUGAAAACUCCGGUGGAUAGAGAUGGGCACGCGCAAGAUUAGAUAGUUGGUAGGGUAACGGCCUACCAAGUCAAUGAUCUUUAGGGGGCCUGAGAGGGUGAUCCCCCACACUGGUACUGAGACACGGACCAGACUCCUACGGGAGGCAGCAGUGAGGAAUAUUGGACAAUGGGUGAGAGCCUGAUCCAGCCAUCCCGCGUGAAGGACGACGGCCCUAUGGGUUGUAAACUUCUUUUGUAUAGGGAUAAACCUACUCUCGUGAGAGUAGCUGAAGGUACUAUACGAAUAAGCACCGGCUAACUCCGUGCCAGCAGCCGCGGUAAUACGGAGGGUGCAAGCGUUAUCCGGAUUUAUUGGGUUUAAAGGGUCCGUAGGCGGAUCUGUAAGUCAGUGGUGAAAUCUCAUAGCUUAACUAUGAAACUGCCAUUGAUACUGCAGGUCUUGAGUAAAGUAGAAGUGGCUGGAAUAAGUAGUGUAGCGGUGAAAUGCAUAGAUAUUACUUAGAACACCAAUUGCGAAGGCAGGUCACUAUGUUUUAACUGACGCUGAUGGACGAAAGCGUGGGGAGCGAACAGGAUUAGAUACCCUGGUAGUCCACGCCGUAACGAUGCUAACUCGUUUUUGGGUUUUCGGAUUCAGAGACUAAGCGAAAGUGAUAAGUUAGCACCUGGGGAGUACGUUCGCAAGAAUGAAACUCAAGGA
rnacentral:rRNA from 1 species